UUGGUAGAAAGGUAGAAAAUGACUUACUUGCCUUAUGUUUUAUAAAGACAGAUUCUCUCUAUGCUGUGAAUUAAAUGAUUUUUAAAUGGUACAAGCAAUGAAAGGAAACAUUUAUUUAAGAUAUACUAUGUACAAAGAAUACUGGGGUGUUGGAGAAGACUCUUGAGAGUCCCUUGGACUGCAAGGAGAUUCAACCAGUCCAUUCUAAAGGAGAUCAGACCUGGGUGUUCAUUGGAAGGACUGAUGUUGAAGCUGAAACUCCAGUACUUUGGCCACCUCAUGUGAAGAGUUGACUCACUGGAAAAGACUCUGAUGCUGGAAGGGAUUGGGGGCAGGAGGAGAAGGGGACGACAGAGGAUGAGAUGGCUGGAUGGCAUCACCGACUCGAUGGACACGAGUAAAAAUCUGUGGAUAAAGUGAACUGGGAAGCUGUGUAUGUGGUAACUGUAAUGAAGAGUCCACUGUGGAUACCUUACUUAUAAUCUUCUGAAAAUAAAGCUACCAUAUGAUCCAGCAAUCCCACUUCUGGGCCUAUAUCCAGAUGAAACCAUAAUUUGAAAAGAUAUUUACACCUUAAUGUUCACUGCAGUACUAUUUACCAUAGCCAGGAAUUUGAAGCAACCUAUAUGUCCAUUGAUAAAGAAAUGAAUAAAGAAGAUGUGGCAGAAAGAUAUCAGUCUCCAGAAUUAACAGUCAGAAGAGAAGCUGCCCUGUAGAUCCAUCGAAUAAAAGCAUCAAGACUCCUAACUAUAUCAAGCUUACCCUGAAAAAGGAAGAGAUGGGCCCAGAAUAU